rnacentral:lncRNA from 1 species
AGCCCCUGCCCCUUUCUCUGCCCCUUUCCCUGCCCCUGCCCCUGCCCCUAGCCGCGCCCCACCCCCGCAGCCCCUCCUGUGCGCUUGGGCCCCGCCCGUCAAGGCCCUUUGACGCUAGGGCCGGGCGGGGGCGCGGGCGGGGCAGCGUUUCCGAGUCGGGCGCGCGCCGGCAGGGUCUCCAUUGCCUGCUGCGCACCCGGACUAGCGGCUGCCCUCGGCCUCCUCGCCUUGGACGCGGACGACUCCCGGGCCCCCAAGGGCUCCUUGCGGAAGUUCCUGGAGCACUUCUCCGGGGCCGGCAAGGCCAUCGGCGUGCUGACCAGCGGGGGACAUGCUCAAGGCCACGCUGCACCCCGUGGUUCCUGAGCCCUGAGCUGAAGUACAUCCUGCUGCAUCGCCUGUGUCGCUUUUGCUGUGUCACUUAGAGCUCCUGCCCUGGGAAACUUCCUCGCGCCUGACGAGCACCACAGUUUGCAGCAAGACCUGUCCAAAGCGUGGACUGCGAGAGCCCCGCUGUGGUCCUGUCCUCUCCAUGUUGGGAGCGACUUUGUGGGGUUUGUCGGCCCUUCUCUCAGGUGUCCUGUGUCUCAUGGAUCAGCCGACGAGCCCCGUCUGGAGGAGCACUCUGCAAAACGUGCCGGCCACCCAGAUCUCCUAGCGCAGAGUGAGGCCACAUCUGCAGACUUGACCGCACAGAGUCCCGAGGCAUUCGGCAAGAAGGGGAGUGGGAUGUGUGUGAGAUCCCACUGCGGAAGCCGGCUCUGCUCCGUACUCUGCGUGCGGGGUGCCUGAUGUUCAGACCUGCUGUGUCUAUCGGGGGCCAUGGCGGGGUGGUGGGAGUGGGGGCAGGGAGCAGCGCGGAUGGAUCCAGGAAAGGACUUAGUUGAAUCCCAGCUGCCCACAUACCUGUUGCUGGUCUUGGACAAGGUCCCUAGUUUCUCUGGGCUUUCGGUUUGAUUGUAAGACUAGGACGCCGCCCCAGUCUGAAGAUGUCGGUGUGUGCGGGAAUGCCUGGCGCAGUCACCAUGGGUUUUCCUUCAGCCUCCUCCGUGCCCCUCCCUGGGUCAAUCAGUAUCCAUGCGUGCCACAAGUAAAUUACAGUCCCUCCGAAAAACCAGUUGACCCGAGUUUUAUGGUCGAGCAUGGUGAGUGUCCUUGCCAGGAAAUGCCACUAGAUGUCUUGGGCCUGCUCCUCUACCUCCACAGCAAUCCCCGGAACAGGCUGGUUCAGGACGUGGGAGGUGGGAGUCGGUGUUGUACCUAGGACAGGCUGAAGUCAAAGGCUCAUUUGCUCUGUGAGGGGUGAUCAGGAU